GUCCAUGGCCAUGCCACCCGGAAUGUGCCUGAUUUUGUUUGAUUUGGGAAGGUAGGCAAGGUUGGGCCUGUUUUGUUCUUGGAUAGGAGGCCACUUAGGAAUACCAGGUGCUGUAGGGG
rnacentral:rRNA from 1 species